UACGUAGGGUGCGAGCGUUAAUCGGAAUUACUGGGCGUAAAGCGUGCGCAGGCGGUUUUGUAAGCCAGAUGUGAAAGCCCCGGGCUUAACCUGGGAAUGGCAUUUGGGACUGCAGGGCUUGAGUGCGGCAGAGGAGACUGGAAUUCCUGGUGUAGCAGUGAAAUGCGUAGAUAUCAGGAGGAAUACCGAUGGCGAAGGCAGGUCUCUGGGCUGACACUGACGCUCAUGCACGAAAGCGUGGGGAGCAAACAGG
rnacentral:rRNA from 1 species